UAGAGGUGCUGGUCUUGACUUC
rnacentral:siRNA from 1 species